rnacentral:rRNA from 1 species
AUGAACGCUGGCGGCGUGCCUAAUACAUGCAAGUCGAGCGAACAGACGAGGAGCUUGCUCCUUUGACGUUAGCGGCGGACGGGUGAGUAACACGUGGAUAACCUACCUAUAAGACUGGGAUAACUUCGGGAAACCGGAGCUAAUACCGGAUAACAUGUUGAACCGCAUGGUUCAACAGUGAAAGACGGUCUUGCUGUCACUUAUAGAUGGAUCCGCGCCGCAUUAGCUAGUUGGUAAGGUAACGGCUUACCAAGGCAACGAUGCGUAGCCGACCCGAGAGGGUGAUCGGCCACACUGGAACUGAGACACGGUCCAGACUCCUACGGGAGGCAGCAGUAGGGAAUCUUCCGCAAUGGGCGAAAGCCUGACGGAGCAACGCCGCGUGAGUGAAGAAGGUCUUCGGAUCGUAAAACUCUGUUAUUAGGGUAGAACAAAUGUGUAAGUAACUAUGCACGUCUUGACGGUACCUAAUCAGAAAGCCACGGCUAACUACGUG